UACGGAGGAUCCGAGCGUUAUCCGGAUUUAUGGGUUUAAAGGGUGCGUAGGCGGGACGAUAAGUCAGUGGUGAAAUCCCAUAGCUCAACUAUGGAAUUGCCAUUGAUACUGUCGACCUUGAGUACAAACGAUGUGGGCGGAAUGUGCAGUGUAGCGGUGAAAUGCUUAGAUAUUGCACAGAACACCGAUAGCGAAGGCAGCUCACAAGAAUGUAACUGAACGCUGAUGACACCGAAAGGUGUGGGGAAUCAAACAGG
rnacentral:rRNA from 1 species